AUGGUGGAGUGGGGAAAAUGUCUCCCUCGUUCGUUUUCCUAAUAUCUUUGUAGCUCUCCAGUCGAGGGAAGGCAUAGAAGGUGGUGAGCGGGUAUAAAAGGCGAUGGGAGCUGAAUGGGAGCCAUUUUGUAGCUGGUUGCAGCAGAGACAAAUUCUGUGUUUGUAGACUAGCUUUGUCUUUAAAACCAUUUGAAGAAUAUUAAUACAGCAGUAAUUAAUCUUGUCUUGUUGUUUAUCAGGCUCUGACUUCGCUGUUUACGUCUGAAAACGAUUACCCAUGACGUUGCCAUCAAAGAAUUGUUCACGUCAGAUUCAUCAACAACAUUUAUCAGCUUCCGCCGAUGGAGUUUACAAAGAUCAGACGCAAUCCUGUUCAUAUAAAUUUUUGGUAGAAUUACUGUAAGAUAAUUCCACUGAACUGAUACGAACUACAGCUUUUCUUUUAAUCAUUAUUGAGAACGUCUACAGAAUGAUUUUACAUGCUAAUUAAAUGUGGAUUAUAAAUUA